rnacentral:rRNA from 1 species
CAAGUCGAGCGGACCGACGGGAGCUUGCUCCCUUAGGUCAGCGGCGGACGGGUGAGUAACACGUGGGUAACCUGCCUGUAAGACUGGGAUAACUCCGGGAAACCGGGGCUAAUACCGGAUGCUUGAUUGAACCGCAUGGUUCAAUCAUAAAAGGUGGCUUUUAGCUACCACUUACAGAUGGACCCGCGGCGCAUUAGCUAGUUGGUGAGGUAACGGCUCACCAAGGCGACGAUGCGUAGCCGACCUGAGAGGGUGAUCGGCCACACUGGGACUGAGACACGGCCCAGACUCCUACGGGAGGCAGCAGUAGGGAAUCUUCCGCAAUGGACGAAAGUCUGACGGAGCAACGCCGCGUGAGUGAUGAAGGUUUUCGGAUCGUAAAACUCUGUUGUUAGGGAAGAACAAGUACCGUUCGAAUAGGGCGGCACCUUGACGGUACCUAACCAGAAAGCCACGGCUAACUACGUGCCAGCAGCCGCGGUAAUACGUAGGUGGCAAGCGUUGUCCGGAAUUAUUGGGCGCAAAGCGCGCGCAGGCGGUUUCUUAAGUCUGAUGUGAAAGCCCCCGGCUCAACCGGGGAGGGUCAUUGGAAACUGGGGAACUUGAGUGCAGAAGAGGAGAGUGGAAUUCCACGUGUAGCGGUGAAAUGCGUAGAGAUGUGGAGGAACACCAGUGGCGAAGGCGACUCUCUGGUCUGUAACUGACGCUGAGGCGCGAAAGCGUGGGGAGCGAACAGG